GAUGAAGAACGUAGCGAAAUGCGAUAAGUAAUGCGAAUUGCAGAAUUCAGUGAAUCAUCGAGUCUUUGAACGCACAUUGCGCCCCCUGGUAUUCCGGGGGGCAUGCCUGUCCGAGCGUCAUUGCUGCCCUCAAGCACGGCUUGUGUGUUGGGCCCCGUCCUCCGAUCCCGGGGGACGGGCCCGAAAGGCAGCGGCGGCACCGCGUCCGGUCCUCGAGCGUAUGGGGCUUUGUCACCCGCUCUGUAGGCCCGGCCGGCGCUUGCCGAUCAACCCAAAUUUUUAUCCAGGUUGACCUCGGAUCAGGUAGGGAUACCCGCUGAACUUAAGCAUAUCAAUAAGCGGAGGA
rnacentral:misc_RNA from 1 species